UACGUAGGGUGCAAGCGUUUAUCCGGAAUUAUUGGGCGUAAAGAGCUCGUAGGCGGUUUGUCGCGUCUGCUGUGAAAACUGGAGGCUCAACCUCCAGCCUGCAGUGGGUACGGGCAAACUAGAGUGCGGUAGGGGAGAUUGGAAUUCCUGGUGUAGCGGUGGAAUGCGCAGAUAUCAGGAGGAACACCGAUGGCGAAGGCAGAUCUCUGGGCCGUAACUGACGCUGAGGAGCGAAAGCGUGGGGAGCGAACAGG
rnacentral:rRNA from 1 species